AUUGAACGCUGGCGGCAGGCCUAACACAUGCAAGUCGAGCGAGCGGCGGACGGGUGAGUAAUGUAUGGGGACUGCCCGAUAGAGGGGGAUAACUACUGGAAACGGUAGCUCAUACCGCAUACUAUCGGAUAACCCAGAUGGGGUUAGCUAGUAGGUGAGGUAAUGGCUCACCUAGGCGACGAUCCCUAGCUGGUCUGAGAGGAUGAUCCGCCACAUGGGAACUGAGACACGGCCCGGACUCCGAGGGAGGCAGCAGUGGGGAAUAUUGCACAAGGGGCGCAAGCCUGAUGCAGCCAUGCCGCGUGUAUGAAGAAGGCCUUAGGGUUGUAAAGUACUUUCAGUGGGGAGGCGUUACCGACAGAAGAAGCACCGGCUAACUCCGUGCCAGCAGCCGCGGUAAUAC
rnacentral:rRNA from 1 species